CCCCCUCAGCAAUGGUCAAAGAGACACUUUGCAGGUGGUAGCCUUCUUAUACCAGUCAAGGGCAAAUCAGCUGGCAGUCCUUUGUUUGCCCUAGAUUGAUGCCUGGAUUGGUGGCCAAAGCUGUCUUACGCCUAGGACUCAUAA